rnacentral:rRNA from 1 species
AGAGUUUGAUCCUGGCUCAGGAUGAACGCUGGCGGCGUGCUUAACACAUGCAAGUCGAACGAAGCACUUUAUUUGAUUUCCUUCGGGACUGAUUAUUUUGUGACUGAGUGGCGGACGGGUGAGUAACGCGUGGGUAACCUGCCUUGUACAGGGGGAUAACAGUUGGAAACGGCUGCUAAUACCGCAUAAGCGCACGGCAUCGCAUGAUGCAGUGUGAAAAACUCCGGUGGUAUAAGAUGGACCCGCGUUGGAUUAGCUAGUUGGUGAGGUAACGGCCCACCAAGGCGACGAUCCAUAGCCGACCUGAGAGGGUGACCGGCCACAUUGGGACUGAGACACGGCCCAAACUCCUACGGGAGGCAGCAGUGGGGAAUAUUGCACAAUGGGCGAAAGCCUGAUGCAGCGACGCCGCGUGAGCGAAGAAGUAUUUCGGUAUGUAAAGCUCUAUCAGCAGGGAAGAUAAUGACGGUACCUGACUAAGAAGCACCGGCUAAAUACGUGCCAGCAGCCGCGGUAAUACGUAUGGUGCAAGCGUUAUCCGGAUUUACUGGGUGUAAAGGGAGCGCAGGCGGUGCGGCAAGUCUGAUGUGAAAGCCCGGGGCUCAACCCCGGUACUGCAUUGGAAACUGUCGUACUAGAGUGUCGGAGGGGUAAGCGGAAUUCCUAGUGUAGCGGUGAAAUGCGUAGAUAUUAGGAGGAACACCAGUGGCGAAGGCGGCUUACUGGACGAUAACUGACGCUGAGGCUCGAAAGCGUGGGGAGCAAACAGGAUUAGAUACCCUGGUAGUCCACGCCGUAAACGAUGA